AUUGAACGCUGGCGGCAUGCCUUACACAUGCAAGUCGAACGGUAACGCGGGGCAACCUGGCGACGAGUGGCGAACGGGUGAGUAAUGUAUCGGAACGUGCCCAGUAGUGGGGGAUAGCCCGGCGAAAGCCGGAUUAAUACCGCAUACGACCUGAGGGUGAAAGCGGGGGAUCGCAAGACCUCGCGCUAUUGGAGCGGCCGAUAUCAGAUUAGCUAGUUGGUGGGGUAAAGGCCUACCAAGGCGACGAUCUGUAGCUGGUCUGAGAGGACGACCAGCCACACUGGGACUGAGACACGGCCCAGACUCCUACGGGAGGCAGCAGUGGGGAAUUUUGGACAAUGGGCGAAAGCCUGAUCCAGCCAUGCCGCGUGCGGGAAGAAGGCCUUCGGGUUGUAAACCGCUUUUGUCAGGGAAGAAAAGGCUCGAACUAAUACUUUGGGCUCAUGACGGUACCUGAAGAAUAAGCACCGGCUAACUACGUGCCAGCAGCCGCAGUAAGAC
rnacentral:rRNA from 1 species